rnacentral:lncRNA from 1 species
UUCACCAAGGCUGCAUUGCAGUGGCACAGUCACAGAUCACUGCAGGCUUGACUGCCCAGGCCCAGACGAUUCUCCCACCUUAGCCUCCUGAAUAGCUGGAACUACAGUUCUGGAGCCGUCCGUGGGAGGAAGAGUGGAGGAAGAGGAGGCGGAAGAAGGAAGGAGGAAGGGCCGUACCAAGUCACCGGUGAACGUUCCCAGCACGCACAGGACUCCUCCCAGAAACAGACAGGUGGAAGCUGACCACUAAAAGCUGGCUAGAGAGAGCCAGGGCACUCAGGACUUGGGGGAGAGUUGAAGUAUUAUGUUGGCAAAAGACUCUAUGGGUAUCCUCACUUGACUAGAAGAAGGAUUACUUUUUCCUUGGACCCAGGUCAGCACUCUUUUGGGUUAUGUGAUGCAAGACAUUCAUGCCAAGAGAUGAAUUUUUCUCCACCUGGCAUGCACUGCAUGGCAUUAGAUUUCCAUUGAUUUAAAGGGGGAAGACACAGCUGCCUCAAAUAACAAACAUGCAUCUUCUGCAGCUGGUAAUGGAUGAAAAAAACCUGCAUUUUUUUUCUUUUCAAUGUCUGGAGAGAGUCAGGAGAGGAGAGGCGGGAUAUAUUAAAUUAUCCUUUGGCGAGCUUUAGCUUCUGAGUGCCUCAGGCCUUACCCUGGAAAUACUCCGCAUCAAGUAUGCACAGGGAUGCAAGAAGAAAUUAAUCUUGCCAUCAGUAACACUUUGUUUUUGGAAACUCUCUAUGUCAAAAAGCGUCAGCUCCCAAGAGUUUUGGCUACUUUCUUAAUUAUCUUUGCAACUGAGCAAAUGUUUUCUCUCCUCCUCUAAAGGGAAGGAAUCUGCUGAGGUGUUCACAGCUGCCUGCCUGCCUGCCGUGUCAGAUAGUAGAAGUGGUGUGAUGAUGACCAAGUUGGAUGGUGAAUGGAAGAUUCUCGACACCAGGUACUGCCCAGCCAACAAGACACAGGCUUGUCCCACCGCAGCAGAAAGUUGUUCUGUAGGCCAAUAGCGAGACUGAGAAAUGGCCAGAUGCAAAAGAAACCAGUUCUGACUGCACUCCAGCUCUGCCUACCAAGUCAGGGCCAGGAGGCCCACGAACACUCCCUCAUUGCUGACACUACAGAGCUGAGCUUCACAAAGUGCUCCCUGUUGGCUCUGCAUUUAGACCUCCCACAACUACAGAUAAAACAGAGGGAGACUAACAUGCCUUAGAAACUAAGCAAAUAACUUAAAGGAUAAUAUUUAAACAUGCUCAUAUAUCUAGAUCUUGAUCUUCCUUUAUUCAAUUUCAUGGUCAUGCAAAUAUAACAGCUUGAGAUA